rnacentral:rRNA from 1 species
UACGUAGGGUGCGAGCGUUAAUCGGAAUUACUGGGCGUAAAGCGCGUGUAGGCGGUUCGCUAAGUUCGAUGUGAAAGCCCUGGGCUUAACCCAGGAACUGCAUUGAAAACUGGCGGACUUGAGUCCGGGAGAGGGUCGCGGAAUUCCUGGUGUAGAGGUGAAAUUCGUAGAUAUCAGGAGGAACACCGGUGGCGAAGGCGGCGACCUGGACCGGUACUGACGCUGAGACGCGAAAGCGUGGGGAGCAAACAGG